AGCAUUACGCUAUUCUGUUUCUAAUUCCUGAGAAAUGGCAUUCAUAGCACGCAGCAUCCCUUAAUUUCUUUUAUCUAGCAUUAUGCACUCUUUGAUGGUAAAACAGAACUAUCUAACAUACUAGUUGAAUAUUCAAGAGUUAAUGAUUUAUACAGCAAAUGAACAGGCUGAUAAUUACAAACAGAAAUGUUGGGUGUGUGUGUGUAACGUAUGUGUAUAUAUACCCCUUGUUUUAAUAGUCCUCUCUCCAAGUAUAGUUUCAAGUUGAAGGCUUCUUUGAUUCCUCAAAAGGGAUACUCUUUUUAUGUCCCUGAUAAGCUCAUCCCAGACUAAAUUGAAAAAGGACUUGAAGCUAUGCUAAAAUUGCAACACAUACAUCCUGCUCAUUCAUUGUUUCUCUAUUUUUUUCACAUAUUUGCUUAUGUUGAAUAUUUGUUCCUCACAUUGUUUUUCCAUUCAGCGGCAAGAUAUUGCAGUCGUAACAAAGUGGUUAUCAGGGGUGUCUCCAGAGAAGGGUGUAUGUCGUUUCGAUCUUUCCGUUUCCUCGAGCGCUUCACCAAACCGUACCACCACCCUCAUCUCUCCACGCGCCGUUCCCCACUCUCAUCUCUCCACGCGCCACCUUGUUCUCCCCAGCACCACCAUCCCCAUAUCGACGAACGCCUCGUCCUCGACCAAAUUUCCCACCUUUUCCCCAUUGCCACUUUCAAAUCCCAGAACCCUGUUUCGAAACCCCUCGAACCGCCGCAACCGGACACGAAACUGGUGGACGCGUUUUUGCCCUCCGAAGAUAAACUGCGGGGAGUCUUCCUCCAGAAGCUAACGGGAAAGGCUGCAAUCGAAACCGCUUUGUCCAACGUUGGCGCUGACGUCGACGUUAACGUUCUCGGUAAAGUACUCAACUAUGGGAACCUCAGUGGUGAAUCCAUGGUCACGUUUUUCAACUGGGCAGUUAAACAACCAGGGGUACCCAAUGAUGUUGGUAGUUACCAUGUGAUUGUUAAGGCACUCGGAAGAAGAAAGUUUUUUGUUUUUAUGAUGAGUGUGUUGUGUGACAUGAGGAAACGUGGCACUGAUGGUGAUUUGUUGAUGUUGUCUAUUGUUAUUGAUAGUUUUGUUAGGGCUGGUCAUGUGUCUAGGGCAAUCCAGAUGUUUGGGAGCUUGGAUGAUCUCGGGGUUCGGCGUGACACCGAGGCUUUGAACGUGCUUUUGUCGUGUCUUUGUCAUCGUUCUCAUGUCGGUGCUGCCAAUUCUGUGUUGUAUUCGAUGAAGGGGAAGGUGUGUUUUGAUGUUGGUACAUACAAUGUGGUUGCCGGUGGGUGGUCUAAGAUUGGUAAGGUGGGUGAGGUUGAGAGGAUUAUGAGGGAAAUGGAGGCUGAUGGGGUUGGACCCGAUUGUAGGACGUUUGGAUUCCUUAUGGAGAGCUUGGGGAGGGUAGGUAGAAUGGAUGAAGCUGUUGAAGUUUUCUGUGCUGUGAGGGAGAAGAAUUGCCAGCCAGAUACUGCAGCUUAUAAUGCAAUGAUUUUCAAUUUUGUGUCUGUUGGGGAUUUUGAGGAGUGCAUGAAGUAUUAUAAUAGGAUGUUGAGUGAUAACUGUGAACCUGAUCUUGAUACGUUUGUUAGAAUAAUUACUGCGUUUCUCAGAGUGAGGAAAGUGGCUGAUUCGCUUCAGAUGUUUGAUGAGAUGUUGAGGCGAGGUGUUGUGCCGUCUAUUGGGACCAUAACAGCCUUUAUCAAACGAUUGUGUAGCUAUGGUCCACCGUAUGCUGCUUUGGUGAUAUACAAGAAGGCAAGAAAAUCAGGGUGUGUGAUAUCAAUGGAAGCUUAUAAGAUACUGCUUAUGCGGCUUUCUAAGGUUGGAAAGUGUGGAACAUUGUUGAGCAUAUGGGAGGAGAUGCAAGAAUGUGGGUACAGUUCAGAUUUGGAAGUUUAUGAGUACAUCAUUUGUGGUCUUUGCAAUGUUGGACAACUGGAAAAUGCUGUUCUUGUUAUGGAGGAGGCUUUGGGCAAGGGGUUUUGCCCAAGCAGGCUAGUAUAUAGUAAACUGAGCAACAGGCUACUUGCUACAAAGAAAACAGAGAUGGCUUACAAGCUGUUUUUGAAGAUCAAACAUGCCCGUUUCCUUGACAACGCGAGAAAUUAUUGGCGUAGUAAUGGUUGGCACUUUUGAAAAGUUGUGCUGAUUGGCAGAUCUUACAGAAGGUCAUCUUCUUAGCUUUUGACGUAGCUGCCCUUUUUGUUUGGGCUUGCUUGGACACUUUGAUGGUGAUUCCAGGUGCUUCAAUCUUUUCAGCUUGAUGGAAGUGUUGAACUGUUUCUUGCAGUGAGAGCAGCAAUGGGGAGAGCCACAAGGAACUAUACCUCCCAACAUUUCUCAAGCUGAGGCAGCUUGGUUACAGUCAUUCUACACAGAGAAGGACAAAAACAAGCACACCAU